AUUUUGAAGAAGUGAUUUUACAUGUUAAUACUUUCCAUGUCCCUUUUACAGCUGUCCCCAUUUAAAAGUGCCUUAAAUAGCAUGAAUUUAUAAAGGAGUUUGGCUAUUAGGAAAUGUAGAUUCCUCAACUGUACUCUCAAUAGCUGUGAAGAUACAGGCAACACACUGCCUUUGUGAUGGCUGAUAAAUGUUGGAAGGUAUCCAGAAUGGGCUGGCUGUGCCAAUAUCUCUCUUCUCCCCCUUGCAGUGGAAAAUGUGAGAAGUCUAAGAAUAACCGAAGCACGCAGACAGUGAGGCUGGGGGAUUCUAACACUGCUCCUCAUGGAAGCGUAUUUCCGUGAAAUGGGACUUGCUUAAAAAUGUAUUGGGUGUAUUUAAAAAGUCUGUUUAAGUUGGGCAUGGUGGUGCACGCCUUUAAUCUCAGCACUUGGGAGGCAGGGGCCAGACUGGUCUACAAAAGGGAGUCCAGGACAAUCCGGGCCUGUUACACAGAGAAAUCUUGUCUUGAAAAAAAAAUCAGUUUAAUCUGGUCACAUACGUAAAGGAGCCAAGUCGGCAGCUAUGGAAUGGCUUUACCAUCAGAUAAGCAGAGAAACAUGCUCCAUCCUAACUCCAGCACACAGCUCCACUCCGAGAGGCCCUUGGAGCUGUGCUGACUCCAUAGCAGAGAGAGAAUGUUAGGAAUGCUGACUGUCCUCCACUCUGCCCAACUCCACUCUGCAGAUAAGGUGAAGAUUCAAGUGCCCUGCUCUCAAGGAAGAAGUCAUUUGUCAAGUCACAUGGUGUUGAAUAGCGUCACAAAUACCCACUUCUCCAACACCCACUAAUCUGAGCAGGCUUUCUCUUUGGAGCCUUCCAAAGUCAAGUGAAUGCGUAUUUUAUUUGCUACGUACUAACUAUAAGGGCCUGAAAUACACGCUUUGGGGUUUUACCAAGCAUUCAUCGUAAGGCAAGGGAGGUGGCCUGCAGGGUGAGCCCUCUCCACUGCCUGACUUUGGAGUACCAAGUUCUGGUUUCAUACAGAUCUGCCGAGCACUCUAACAGGAUGAGGGAGUGGAACGGUCUAAAUUUAAACUAUAGAAUCAACUCCUUCCAGUCUGGAGAGGCGUAGGUGGACCCUGUGAAUUACACGGUAACGCACGCGCUCUCCCUGCAUCCUGCUUGUGUCAAAACAUUUCCAGGGCCUUUCAUUUGGGGAGAUCUUAUUUUAGGUUAUAGAAUGGGGUGGAGACUCCCUUUCUUUCAUUUUCUUCUUUUUUGUCUUUGUAGCAUUAUUUAAAAAUUUUGGGGGACCUUUAGAUGUUUUGUUUCUCUCU
rnacentral:lncRNA from 1 species